AGCCUUUGUGUUGCUGGUUCACCUUUGGUCACUAGAGCAUGUGGUGUCAAAGGGGGCAUAAAUUAAUGUUUUACAGCCUUUUCUUACCCUGGAGUUUGGUAUCUUGGGUGUAGGAGCUGCAUAUGUAACAUAA